AAAUGCGCAUGUGACACGCAACUACAGUAAAAAUCCAGCGUGUCAGAAUUAUCUACCAAGCCCAAUAACUUGAUGACAAUAUUAAUUCGCCUAACUUAACACACAUUUUAUGACAAAAACUAUAGAUAGAUCCAGGUGUGAAUGCACCAAAUACUAGAUUAGUUUAAAAUUAAGUAACAGGUAGAAUGAACAGGUCCUGACCUAAUAUUCUUGAUCAGGAUAAAAAGCUGAAUAACUGGCCGUAUCCGUAUAUGAUCUAGAAGUUUGAUUUUAAGUACGUAGUAUUUUAGAAUGCCGAAUUUGUUCAAGUUCGUUUCGGAAGAUUUCACUCCUACUCUUAAGAACACAAAACCCCAAAAAGGUUUUUAGUUUGUUGAAUUUUGUCAAUAAGCCAAAAAGAAUUUGGUCACCGAGGAAUAUCAAUAGAAAUUGGGGAAUAAAAUGAAACAAACUUUUAAAAGUGUGGGCGUGACAGUGUUGGGCGGUUUGUGGGUCUUAGAGUGCCCGUUGAAAUCGAUGGACGAUGUUGCAUAGCAACAUUUCGAAUCUUCCUUUCUAAGCCCACGGACUGCGGACAGACAGACUUCGCCAGAUCAACUCGACUAUUGAUCCUGAACAGAAAUAUAUGUAUAUAGUAUUAUGGUAAAAACGCGUUCUUCAACAUGUUACAUACAUUUCAAAGAACUUAUUAUAACUCGUGACCAUAAAGGGCUUGGUUAUUGGAUGAAAUGAAUGUCAACUUCUUGUAAAAAGACCGAUUUAACCCUAUAAAAUACACCCAGUUGUGUAGCCAUUUCACUCAGAUCGCGAUCAAAGCGUUCUUGGUUUGCGAAUGACAACAGAUAGGCUUUUAUUGAUUUGGAAAAAAGUUUUUCUCGAUUUUGAGAUGAAGAUAUUUUGCUUCGAAAUAAUUGGAUUUCGGAAACCCCAAAUACAUUUGGGAUAGGAUAGUUGACUUCCGCGUCUAUCAGAUACCGCUUACUGAGGAAAGAUAGAUAGAGGGUUACAGAUGGCGAGAGCCGUACAGCGAGACGGCACGAUUGAGGACAGGGCAGCAGGAAAACGAAGAACGUGUUUGUGCCCAAUUCAAGAAAGCAAUGGUACAAAGAUAGACAUUGACCUGCACAAACGGUAAAACCGGUAAAUCUGGAGAUUGGAGACGCCGAGGAUUAACUGUUAAAGGGAUAUAGUAUGUAAGCAUUUCGAGGCAGCUAUCAUUCCGCUCACUUGAAAUGCAGAACGCGGAUGUGUACAAUCGAGACCAAACCGUGGCAUUGACCCAGCGAGUCCAAUCCUAAUAUAAACCAGUGCGCGUGCCAGGAUUGUGCAGAAUGGACAGAUUUUGUACUUACACCAUUUCAAGAAAGAGAAUUUCGAAUUUGUCGUACAGAGACAGCGCAUAUCGCAGCCGGCUAAAUUAGAAACCAUGCAAAUGACAUUAUCUGAAUACUAUACUGUGGCGAGUUCAUACAGACAGACAGAACCUCUGAAAGGAGUUUUUAAAUGGUAUUCUUCCACGACUUACCUUAUUUAAUAAAGAACCAUUUAGAAUUCUUAUUAACGCAUCUCAACUGUUCGAUUAUUUAUAAUAGCACCGCUUUGGAUAUAGAAGGCUAAGUGAUUUUAGACUCAGUAAAUAGUAGUAUAUAAUAAUUAUAAUUUGUAUAAUAGUUUUGAGAAAAUUGGAGAAACUACGUCCACUUCAAAUGCAUUUUAAAGUAAAUAUGCUAUUGACUGUUUUUAAUGCUUUAUUUGCUGCUAUGAUUAAAUUAUUUUAAUAAUAUUUUAACAGGUAUAUAACAAAUAUGUAAUUUCAAGGUGGGUUGUAUUUUCGAUUUUUCGUUUUUUAAACUCAGUUUAAGUUAUCAAUUAUGUGUAUACUUUUUUAAUUCUUUCUUCUCUCUUACUUUCUCAUUAUUUGUGUUCUCGCAGUUGACGCUUAUUCCGGCAAUGGUUGGCUAAUUUUUUAUAGUUACUUUUAAAAAUGGUUUAUUUUCUGGUUUAUUGUGCUAAUGCAAUCUUUCUCUAUUCAAAUAACCUACAUGUCUAUUAUACGGCACCGUAUGCGAGUAAAGAAUAUUAAUUUAAUAAUAUUAAUUAUUAUAUUGAACUUUUUUCUGCAUUUUUUUAAAUUUAAAAACAGCGUAACAAUCAUUUUUCUUGAUUUUUGUUUAACUAUUUAAUGUUACCAUUUAACAAUUCGAUCGUAUUAUAUACAUUUUCAUAAAUUAAAUGAUUUUCUUUAUAUUUCUUUAUAUAUUCUUGCGAAUAUAUUUCGAUAGCCAUAUCCAACUUUCUUAUCGCAUAACAUGUAUAACUCAACACCGGUACCGUUUCCGAUUUCCUUUUAGGAUACCAAGAUCUCAUUCAAAAACAAAACUUUUUACGAUUUAUUAAAUACUUUUUUAUUAAAAAAUAAAAUUUUUGCCGAAAUCGAAUAUCAAAAUCAAUAAUUUCAAUAAGGCAUUACAACUUAUAAUAGUUAAUUAAACAUUUGAUAAAAAUAAUCUACCACGUAACUCUUUUUAAACUCAUUUAUAAAAUUUUAACUGUAUUAGGACUAAAAUAUGAGAGAUUGUUUUCUCAAGAUUUUAAGCAAAUGAUACUCCGGAAAAUACAUGUAAAAUCAUUCCAAAGAAAGUACUUGAAAAUUACACUUGGUCAUGUUUUUUAAUGGUUUGUUCUUAUCACCCUUUAUGCUUCAAUAAAAUAAAGUGAUGGAAAAGAAAAAAUGUACUUUUUAACUUUAAGGACUUUUCCAUCAAAAAGAGGUACUCCUUUGUGCAACAAUGUUUUUAACAGGAUUUUUUGAACAAAUGUACAAUCGUUUAUAAUAUUUUGUAUAAUAAUAAUGUCUUUACAAAAAAUAUAUAUAUUAUAUAUAUGCUAUAAGUAUUAUAUAUAUAUAAUAUAUAUGUAUUAAGCACGUACAAAACUAUUGCUCUUAUCAGAACAAAUACUUCAUUAUAGUUUUAUGGCUGUUUCGAAAGUUAAAAUUUUUGUAAACAAUAUAACAUUAAUUUGUGCAGAUUUAAAUUAUUUUCGUUUUUACAUUAUUCUGGCAUGACAUUGCUAUAAAAGCAACUAUAAAUAAACUAAUGUAUGUAUGUAUCUACAUCCAUCAAUGUACGGUGUUCUCCGGUAUAUCUACUGGUGUUAAUUAAACGUUAUUAAGGAAUUCGUAUUGAAUUUACUCAGGUUUUAAGCGAUGCCAUUGUACUACAGUUUGUCUGGGCUUUGAGAUCAUAUCCUGCCAAUGUUUUGUUUCUGAUGCUCCAGAACCGUUUUUUCCUUUGAUUGCAUUAAAACAAAAAAAUCAUUUUAUUAAAGGUAAGCUUAUAUUGAACUGUAGAGAUGUUAUUUUUAUUUUUACCAGCUAAUAAUAUUCGUCCUAUUAACUCGUUCCUUCCAAUGUUAUCAAAAUCCAUCACCAUAACAUCCAAAGAACAUUCUCUUAUUUUUUCCCAUGGUACGUUAAAACUAAACGAUUCAUUAAAUACUGGAUUUAAUGUACACGUAAAUAUAGGCGUUUUUCUUUUUUCUACCCUUUUAUCGCCAAACUGUAGCCAAACCUUUACGUAGGGAUCUACAAGAAAAAAGAUAUUAAAUUUUAAUUUACUGGUGGAAAGUCUUUUAUGUCAAAAACACAUUGAAAUUGUUUUUAAAACCCUAAGUCUUGUAUUGUCGGAACAAUUGCGACUAUAAUAUAAUCAAAACAAAGGGAAUGAAAAAUAUAAUGUGAUUUUCCUAUCAUAACAAAUCAAACUGUAAUACAAAAAAAAAUUUAAGUUGUAAAAAUGAACAUUUAAGAGAACCACAAAGUGGUGACGCUUUUCCGUCCUUUUGAAUUAAAUGACACCUUAUCUUAUGAUCUAAAGUCUUUGAAUUCGGUAUAUAAGAUUCGGCAAUCGCCCAAUACUUAUGUAUGUAAAUCUUGACAAAUAUGUAUAAAAAUAAAAUAAAAAUAUAAUGCGACGGAAAUAAGUUUGUGAAAAACCACCAAAAAGUAUAUAUUUUUAUUAAAACUGAGCCCAGUCAAGUAUUGUGAAUAAGUGCUGGACUACAGCUUCCCAAUCCUUAUAUCAUUCAGAAUGUUUAUUAUAGUCAGCAUUUUGUGUUCUUAUCAACGUUUUUAUGAUUCUGUGUAAACGGCCUUGACAAAACUGAUUUCCAUCUAUAUACCCUUGCAGGACAUUCAGACGAUAAUUUUAAGUAAGAAGGAAAAAUUUUAAAACAUAGGGCCGAUGAUGUCAAGAUUUUUGAAAAUUUUUCAAAAUGAAAAAUUUUGUUUUUUGCAACAAAAAGUUACUAUAAAAUCAUAAAUGUUUUUGUUAAGUUUGCAUUAACUUUUAUGAUAAUAAAUGAUAUUGAACCAUAUAAAUAUAAAAUAUAAAAGGUUUUGAUAGAAAAUAGCCCGGCUAUUAUAUGAAUAGGAAAUAUUUUUUAAGCCGUGUCGAAUGAUUUUAUAGAACAGGUGGAGCCACUUUGUGUUUAUUAUAUGUGUGUCUUGCUGUAGCUUGCUGAUUUAUAUCGAUUAACAUGCUGAUUUUUAGCUUCGUUUUUGAUUCAGAUAAAUAGCCGAGAUUGGAAGAUUUUUUUAAGAUGGGAGUAAAAAUAACUCAAUGAAUGAAUGAAAUGAAAAAAUUCAAAACAUUUUUUAACCGCUAGGCAGUUUUAGACGCUUUGUUGCGUCUCCGGAAUAAUAUGGUUAAGCUCAACUUUCUAGUUCCAGAGUUCUUGACGUCCAUGAGCAAUGAGAGGCAGACUGACAUAGCCAAAUCGACUCAAUUGCGAUCCUGAUCCUCCAACCUGCUACAUACAUUUCAACGAAUCUAGUUACUAUUUCUAUAGGAGCUACAGGGUUAAAUUAAAUCCUGAUUGAAAUAUUAAAAAAUUAUUUUCUGUUAUACACUUGUGUUCCUGCUUACCAGAUUUUCCGUUGAUAUCUUUGGCUUUUAAAUUUCUCGCUUUAAUUAGUGUUAAAGUCAAAAUUGAGUUCGACGGGUGAUAGCAAAGGGAAGAGAGAAGUUCUCCGCAUUUAUCCUUUGCAGGGGGCUUUAAAGCCUUCCAAAAAGAUUGUUUUCCAGCAAAGUCAACCUUAUUAAAUAAACAAUUAAAUAAACAAUAUAAAUUUUAAGAAAUACGUCUUAAAUUAAUUAUUUACCUGACAUAAAGGAAGAAAUACUUCCCCUAUGGAGUCAUCUCUUGAAAACCGAUCGUAAUCAAAAACAUGUAAGUGUAAAACCUUCAAUUGUCCAUAUAAAAAUACAAUAAAAUUUAAAUUGUAAUUUAAAUUUAAUUUAAAACCUUAUAAAUAUAACUGUAUCUUUGUUUAUAACUGUCAAGUACACAAAAAGAAUCGGAAUGACGCUACCGAACGAAACUAUAUAAUCAUCGUCGGUCGCUAGACGAAACAAAA